CAGAGUUUGAUCCUGGCUCAGGACGAACGCUGGCGGCGUGCUUAACACAUGCAAGUCGAGCGGUAAGGCCCUUCGGGGUACACGAGCGGCGAACGGGUGAGUAACACGUGAGCAACCUGCCCCUGACUCCGGGAUAAGCGGUGGAAACGCCGUCUAAUACCGGAUACGACCCGCCACCUCAUGGUGGAGGGUGGAAAGUUUUUCGGUCAGGGAUGGGCUCGCGGCCUAUCAGCUUGUUGGUGGGGUAACGGCCUACCAAGGCGAUUACGGGUAGCCGGCCUGAGAGGGCGACCGGCCACACUGGGACUGAGACACGGCCCAGACUCCUGCGGGAGGCAGCAGUGGGGAAUAUUGCGCAAUGGGCGAAAGCCUGACGCAGCGACGCCGCGUGGGGGAUGACGGCCUUCGGGUUGUAAACCUCUUUUACCACCAACGCAGGCUCCCAGUUCUCUGGGGGUUGACGGUAGGUGGGGAAUAAGGACCGGCUAACUACGUGCCAGCAGCCGCGGUAAUACGUAGGGUCCGAGCGUUGUCCGGAAUUAUUGGGCGUAAAGAGCUCGUAGGCGGCGUGUCGCGUCUGCUGUGAAAGACCGGGGCUUAACUCCGGUUCUGCAGUGGAUACGGGCAUGCUAGAGGUAGGUAGGGGAGACUGGAAUUCCUGGUGUAGCGGUGAAAUGCGCAGAUAUCAGGAGGAACACCGGUGGCGAAGGCGGGUCUCUGGGCCUUACCUGACGCUGAGGAGCGAAAGCAUGGGGAGCGAACAGGAUUAGAUACCCUGGUAGUCCAUGCCGUAAACGUUGGGCGCUAGGUGUGGGGACUUUCCACGGUUUCCGCGCCGUAGCUAACGCAUUAAGCGCCCCGCCUGGGGAGUACGGCCGCAAGGCUAAAACUCAAAGGAAUUGACGGGGGCCCGCACAAGCGGCGGAGCAUGUUGCUUAA
rnacentral:rRNA from 1 species